UACGUAGGGGGCGAGCGUUGUCCGGAAUCAUUGGGCGUAAAGCGCGCGUAGGCGGCCCGGUAAGUCCGUUGUGAAAGUCAAAGGCUCAACCUUUGAACGCCGAUGGAUACUGCCGGGCUGGAGUCCGGAAGAGGCGAGUGGAAUUCCUGGUGUAGCGGUGGAAUGCGCAGAUAUCAGGAGGAACACCAAUAGCGAAGGCAGCUCGCUGGGACGGUACUGACGCUGAGGCGCGAAAGCGUGGGGAGCGAACAGG
rnacentral:rRNA from 1 species